rnacentral:rRNA from 1 species
UACAGAGGUCUCAAGCGUUGCUCGGAUUCAUUGGGCGUAAAGGGUGCGUAGGCGGCGCGGUAAGUCGGGUGUGAAAUCUUGGAGCUUAACUCCGAAACUGCAUUCGAUACUGCCGUGCUUGAGGACUGGAGAGGAGACUGGAAUUUACGGUGUAGCGGUGAAAUGCGUAGAUAUCGUAAGGAACACCAGUGGCGAAGGCGGCUCACUGGCCCGAUACUGACGCUGAGGUGCGAAAGCGUGGGGAGCAAACAGG